rnacentral:rRNA from 1 species
UCCUACGGGAGGCAGCAGUAGGGAAUUUUCGGCAAUGGGGGAAACCCUGACCGAGCGACGCCGCGUGAGGGAUGAAGGCCUUCGGGUUGUAAACCUCUGUCUUCGGGGACGAUAAUGACGGUACCCGAGGAGGAAGCCACGGCUAACUACGUGCCAGCAGCCGCGGUAAGACGUAGGUGGCGAGCGUUGUCCGGAAUUACUGGGCGUAAAGGGCGUGUAGGUGGCCUGCUAAGUCAGACGUGAAACCCCAAGGCUUAACCUUGGGACUGCGUUUGAUACUGGUGGGCUUGAGGACAGGAGAGGAAAGUGGAACUCCGUGUGUAGCGGUGAAAUGCGUAGAUAUACGGAAGAACACCAGUGGCGAAGGCGGCUUUCUGGACUGUCCCUGACACUGAGGCGCGAAAGCCAGGGGAGCGAACGGGAUUAGAUACCCCGGUAGG